AGUCGAACGCCCCGCAAGGGGAGUGGCAGACGGGUGAGUAACGCGUGGGAAUCUACCGUACCCUACGGAAUAGCUCCGGGAAACUGGAAUUAAUACCGUAUACGCCCUACGGGGGAAAGAUUUAUCGGGGUAUGAUGAGCCCGCGUUGGAUUAGCUAGUUGGUGGGGUAAAGGCCUACCAAGGCGACGAUCCAUAGCUGGUCUGAGAGGAUGAUCAGCCACAUUGGGACUGAGACACGGCCCAAACUCCUACGGGAGGCAGCAGUGGGGAAUAUUGGACAAUGGGCGCAAGCCUGAUCCAGCCAUGCCGCGUGAGUGAUGAAGGUCUUAGGAUUGUAAAGCUCUUUCACCGAUGAAGAUAAUGACGGUAGUCGGAGAAGAAGCCCCGGCUAACUUCGUGCCAGCAGCCGCGGUAAUACGAAGGGGGCUAGCGUUGUUCGGAAUUACUGGGCGUAAAGCGCACGUAGGCGGAUAUUUAAGUCAGGGGUGAAAUCCCGCAGCUCAACUGCGGAACUGCCUUUGAUACUGGGUAUCUUGAGUAUGGAAGAGGUGAGUGGAAUUCCGAGUGUAGAGGUGAAAUUCGUAGAUAUUCGGAGGAACACCAGUGGCGAAGGCGGCUCACUGG
rnacentral:rRNA from 1 species